UACGGAGGUUGCAAGCGUUAUCCGGAAUUACUGGGUUUAAAGGGUGCGUAGGCGGCUUAGUAAGUCAGGGGUGAAAGGUCACGGCUCAACCGUGGAAUUGCCUUUGAUACUGCUGAGCUUGAAUCAGGAUGAGGUUGGCAGAAUGUGGCAUGUAGCGGUGAAAUGCAUAGAUAUGCCAUAGAACACCGAUUGCGAAGGCAGCUGGCUAGACCUUGAUUGACGCUGAGGCACGAAAGCGUGGGGAGCGAACAGG
rnacentral:rRNA from 1 species